GACAAAGACAGUGAGGUGGGAUCUUGCAUAGCACCUGUGUUUGUGAUUCUGCUUUUGCUUAUUUGAUUAAUGUCUGACUUCCCUAAAGGGCCCUAAUUUCCCUAAGAGCAGUAGCUGUUUCUGUCCUGCCCUGAUGGCAUUCUUAGCACCUAGCAGAGCAGCUGGCACAGAGAAGGGGCUCCAUGAAGAACUGAUGAAUGAAUGAGGCUGGCAGGUGAAUGCCCUAAUUGGUGGAGAUUCCCUCCUAAUCCUUGCAUGGAUGUGUUUCCUUCCGAGGCAUGUUGUCUGCCAGAGAUGGAACUGAUGGGGGCCCCAAGGAUGAAACUGGCUGGGGCAGAGGUGUUUUCAUUCAACAGCUAUCUAUUGAGUUGCUACUGCAUACCAGGCACUGCACUAGAGGCUGAGGAAGCAGUCAUGAGCAAGAAAGACGAGGUCCCUGUGCUCACAGUGGCAGAGCAAGGCAUAAAAUAUGUCCAGAUGGUAAUGAGCGCUAAACUGUCAGGAAAAAGACACACAAGGUGAGAAUAACUGAGCUAAUCUACAGGGAAGGGUGGUCAGAGAAGGGUUCCAGGAGGAGGUGACGGUUUAGCCAAGACCAGAAAGAUUCAAAGGAGUCAGCCAUGGGAAGAACUAGGGGAAGAGCCUUCCAGGUAGAGACUAUAGCAAAUGCCAAGUCCCUGAGGCUUGAAAGGGCACAUGAGUUACAGGAGUGGAGAAGCUGGUGGUGGCUGAAGUGUGGUGGCUCAUAGUGGGUUUGGAGAGGGAGGAAGGGCCAUGCAGGCUUUGUGGCAUGUAUUUUGUAGCCAUUGGAGGGUUAUCAGGGCCAUGAAAUAAUCAGAUGUACAUUUUAAAGCUCCUGUCGGCUUUUAAAGCACCUCCCAGCCAGGCAGGACUUAGCGAGGGAAGCAAGUUGGAGCCACAGCAGGCUUUGGAGUCAAGGAAAGGCCAGGUCUCAAGCAAGGGUAGGUUGGAUCAGGAAGGGGCUCACUCACGUCUUUUCUGACUUUUCUGCCCAACUUCUGCUGGCAUCUCCAUACUGUCACCGAUCACUUCAUCUGGUCCUAUGUGCUCUACUUUGAGAAAAACCGGAGACCAACUCACACAAUCAGUGGAAGCCCAAGAUGAAGAACUUGAGACUCAGAGAGGACAAGCAGCUUCCUCAAGAUCAUGCAGCUCUUGCUGCGGAAAACGUAGCUGAAGGCUCAUCUGUGUGACUCCAAGGCCCCUGCCCUGAUCCCUGGUUCAGGUCCAUGUUUCCAUGGUAUAUUCAUUUCCCAGGGCUGCUGAAACAAGAUACCAGCAUCCAGGUAACUCAAAACAAUAACACUUAUUCUCUCAUGGUUCUGGAGGCCAGAAGUUGAAAUCAAGGUGUCAGCAGGGCCACACUCUCUCCAGAGGCUCUAGGGGAGAACGCUUCCUUGCCUCCUCUAGCUGCUGGGAACUAUUGGUGAUCCUUGACUUGUGGUCUUGUGGCCACAUCACCCAUUCCUCAUGUCUCAAGUCUCCUCUUUCUCUUAUAAAGACUCUUGUCAUUGGAUUUAGGACCCACUUAGAUAAUCCAGGAUGAUGUCAUUUCAAGAUCCUUAAUUCUUUUUUUUUUUCCUUCUUUU